rnacentral:rRNA from 1 species
GACGAACGCUGGCGGCAGGCCUAACACAUGCAAGUCGAACGGCUCUUCGGAGCAGUGGCGGACGGGUGAGUAAUGCAUCGGAACGUGCCCAGUCGUGGGGGAUAACGCAGCGAAAGCUGUGCUACUACCGCAUACGAUCUGCGGAUGAAAGCGGGGGACCUUCGGGCCUCGCGCGCUUGGAGCGGCCGAUGUCAGAUUAGGUAGUUGGUGGGGUAAAGGCUCACCAAGCCAACGAUCUGUAGCUGGUCUGAGAGGACGACCAGCCACACUGGGACUGAGACACGGCCCAGACUCCUACGGGAGGCAGCAGUGGGGAAUGUUGGACAAUGGGCGCAAGCCUGAGCCAGCAAUGCCGCGUGCAGGAAGAAGGCCUUCGGGUUGUAAACUGCUUUUGUACGGAGCGAAAAGGCUCCCUCUAAUACAGGGGGCUCAUGACGGUACCGUAAGAAUAAGCACCGGCUAACUACGUGCCAGCAGCCGCCGCCGUAA